rnacentral:lncRNA from 10 species
AAAAGGUUCUAAUAGUUGAUUUGCGUGGUUAGCUGAAAUAUGGAUUAAAAGAUGGCCCACUGUGAGUGAGCUGGAAAUGCCUGAUCUCCCUUGGUUUAAUGUAGAGGAAGGGAUCCAAAGGCUUAGGGAGAUUCAGAAGGUGGAGUGGAUUAGUCACUUUAGACCUACUCAUCCCAGCUGGGAGGGUCCAGAAGAUAUACCCUUGACUGAUGCCUUGCAAAACAGAUUUACAAGGGCAGCAGCUACAUCUUUGAAGAACCCUAUAAUUGCACUUCUCUGUAUGUCAGAUCUAACAGUGGGAACCUCAGUCACUCAACUACAAAAUUUAAAUACAAAAUGGGAAUAACUGGAUCCGGAGGUAGCAGGGGCCAAGUGACGGCACUCAACUAUCAAAGGUAAGGUGGGCGUAGCUACUGUAAUGGACAGCAGAAGCAAAGCAGCAAUCAGAAUAGUCUGACUUGUGUAGAACUUGGGCAUUGGCUAAUUAAUUAUGGUGUUCCUGGAAGUGAAACUGAUAGGAAGCCUACUGCAUUCCCACUUAAUUUAUACAAGCAGAAAACUUCUAGGUCAAAUGGACAAAAUACUAAUUUGAAUUAUUAAAACAGAAUCACGGCCCCUCAAUCAAUUUCCAGACUUGAGCCAGUUUACACACCCAGAGCCCCAAUAUUUGACCUAUAGCAUGACAUGUAUUGUUUAACUUAAAAUCAGCAUCUGCUACAAAUGGCAAUACCAGUACAUUAAAAAUGUUAAAAAAAAAAAAAAAAAAAAAGACUCACCAGGAUACUGUUUUGCUGUUAGCUCUAAUUUAUGAGAUAGCAGCAUGGCUCCAGUGCUGUUAUCUAUUGUAUAGACCUGCACAGAACCACUGUGAAAACAACAACGAAAAACUUUUAGUGAAAAAAGACAAAUACAAAUAGAAAAAGCAUUAUAGAACUCUUAUGUUUUGCUGGUGGGAGUGUAAACUAGAACAAAACCACUUUGUCAAUAAGUUGCAGUCAUCUCAUAAAUUUGAACAAAGGCAUAUUCUAAUCUAGCAAUUUCACUUCCAGAUAUAUCCCAGAAAUUAUUGUCUAAUGUUUACUAGAGAUAUGUACAAUGUCCAUUGUACUAUUGUGAUAAUUUUUAAAAAAGGAAAUAGCCUAUCUAGCAACAUGAGGAAAAAAAUGAACUUUUAUUUGGCUAUAGUACAUAUGGUAUAGCAAUAUAAUACUAUACCUUACAGCACUGAAAAUGAAUGAACUUUAGCCACAUGGAUAGCGAAUACAGUUAACCCUUGAACAACAUGGAUCUGAACUGCAUGGGCCCACUUAUACAUGUAUUUUCUUCUGCCUCUGCCACACCUGACAUACCUCCUUUGCCUCUUCCUCAAGCCUACUCAACAUGAACACGGUGACAAUGAAGACCUUUAAGAUGAUCCACUUCCACUUAAUCAAUAUGAAUAAGAUGAAGAAGUCCAUCAGAAGUAGCAACCAGGAGAUCUUCCAACACAGACUGCAAACUGUGCUAUACUGUGUGCUGGAUAUUCGAGGAUGAAUAAAAUAUUCUCCGUCUUCAGAGGACUUCUCAGGCAAGAAAUCAAAAAUAGUUACAUAGCAUGAUCUCAUCACUUAUCAAUAUUUAUGAAGAUAUUCAGCAUUUACUUCUUUAAUGGGGAAAUAGCCUGUUUUGCUCACCUCUGUAUGCACAGCCCCAAGGGCAGUGUUAGUUAAAUCUGUCACUAAAUAUUUGUGCAAAGGAGGCAAGAAGAGGGAAAGGGUUAGAGGAAAGAGGAACCCAUAAAUGAGACCGCAAAGGUACUGGCACAAAGAAAAAGACAACCAGGGAAACCAGUAGAAACUGAUAUCAAGAAAGCCAAGGAAGUAAGAUGAAUUUAAGAAAGAGUGUUCAAAGUAUCAAAUACUAUAUAAGGAAAAACAAAAAAUGUUAUGUGUAUAUUAUAUAUACCCUAUUAAAUACUAUUAAAUUCCUUUUCAUACUUAAGAGCAUAUUUCUGAAAUAUUUUAAUCCAUAAUGAUGAAAAAAAUGUCUUUUAGUAUUUUAAUUCUUAAACUAAACCUUUAAUUCUUUGGAAAGUUGACUUCAAUUACUCAUACUCCAAAGAUUUCAGCUAAUGUAGAAUUUGCUGUUUUUUCCCCAACUAUAAAAAUACUGAAAAAGAUCAGAAACAGAUGUUUCUUUACCCAGCUCUAUUUCUUGAACUUCACAGCCAUUUGUAAUCAAUUAAAAUUCCCAGUUUUUAGACAUUUCACUUUUUAAAGCAUUAUAUAUUAAUUUCAAAUUUAUAUUUCAGUGAUAAAAUCUAUGUGUAUCAUUUGGUGGGUAGAGUAUAAAAAGUUUAUGUUUUAGAUGCACUACUAUAUGCUAUGAAAAUAUGUAAUUCAAAAUCUAAGCUGUUGGAAAUCUGAAUUACUUUUGAGCCUUAAAGAAAUGUAAUUAUGGGGCCUGAGUCACACAAUAGGCAGCUAUAAUCUAGGCAGCUGUCAUCUUUCUUUCUCUGAUUAUAGAUUAGCUUUCUUCCUUACUGUAUUGUUUUAUAAAU